rnacentral:rRNA from 1 species
UACGUAGGGUGCAAGCGUUAUCCGGAACUAUUGGGCGUAAAGAGCUCGUAGGCGGUCUGUCACGUCGGCUGUGAAAACCCGAGGCUCAACCUCGGGACUGCAGUCGAUACGGGCAGACUAGAGUUCGGUAGGGGAGACUGGAAUUCCUGGUGUAGCGGUGAAAUGCGCAGAUAUCAGGAGGAACACCGGUGGCGAAGGCGGGUCUCUGGGCCGAAACUGACGCUGAGGAGCGAAAGCGUGGGGAGCGAACAGG